rnacentral:piRNA from 1 species
UAAAAUUUUGGCCAAAUUUGAGUCUGAGCU